rnacentral:rRNA from 1 species
UGCCAGCAGCCGCGGUAAUACGAAGGGCCCGAGCGUUAUUCGGAAUCACUGGGCUUAAAGCGUACGCAGGCUGGUGUGCAGGCAUCUUGUGAAAUCCCUCCGCUCAACGGAGGGACUGCAGGGUGAACCGCACACCUUGAGACAGGUAGGGGUUGUCGGAACGCUAGGUGGAGUGGUGAAAUGCGUUGAUAUCUAGCGGAACGCCAAAGGAGAAAUCAGGCAACUGGGCCUGUUCUGACGCUCAUGUACGAAAGCGUGGGGAGCGAACGGGAUUAGAUA